CAAGUCGGACGCUGAUCGACGGGUAGCAAUAUUCGUCGGUCGGAGUGGCGUAAGGGUGCGUAACACGUGGGUAAUCUGCCGUGAAGUUGGGGAUAACUCGCUGAAAGGCGAGCUAAUACCGAAUGUGAUCAUUGGGGGACAUCCUCUGGUGAUUGAAGUUGGGGACCGCAAGGCCUGACGCUUCACGAUGAGCCCGCGGCCUAUCAGCUAGUUGGUGAGGUAACGGCUCACCAAGGCUAAGACGGGUAGCUGGUCUGAGAGGACGACCAGCCACACUGGAACUGAGACACGGUCCAGACACCUACGGGUGGCAGCAGUCGAGAAUUUUUCACAAUGGGCGAAAGCCUGAUGGAGCGACGCCGCGUGGGGGAUGAAUGGCUUCGGCCCGUAAACCCCUGUCAUUUGCGAACAAACCUUGUUAUUUAAAAGAUGACGAGCUGAUAGUAGCGAAAGAGGAAGGGACGGCUAACUCUGUGCCAGCAGCCGCGGUAAUACAGAGGUCCCAAGCGUUGUUCGGAUUCACUGGGCGUAAAGGGUGCGUAGGUGGUCGGGUAAGUCUGAUGUGAAAUCUCUGAGCUCAACUCAGAAAUGGCAUUGGAUACUAUUCGGCUCGAGGGUUGGAGGGGGGACUGGAAUUCUCGGUGUAGCAGUGAAAUGCGUAGAUAUCGAGAGGAACACCAGUGGCGAAGGCGAGUCCCUGGACAACUCCUGACGCUGAGGCACGAAAGCUAGGGGAGCAAACAGGAUUAGAUACCCUGGUAGUCCUAGCCGUAAACGGUGCGCAUUUGCUGUGAGCGGAAUCGACCCCGUUCGUGGCGAAGCUAACGCGUUAAAUGCGCCGCCUGGGAAGUACGGUCGCAAGAUUAAAACUCAAAGAAAUUGACGGGGGCCUGCACAAGCGGUGGA
rnacentral:rRNA from 1 species